CGCCUUAGUGUUGCCCGUCCGUUCCUCUCCGUGAUGGACGCGGUGUCAGAAAAGGCGCACAGCAAACCUUAUCGGGAGAGUAAAAGCAGGACGUCCCCCUGACUCCUCAUGCUUCUGUCCCGAUACGAACACAU